CAAUAGCGUAUAUUAAAGUUGUUGCAGUUAAAAAGCUCGUAGUUGGAUCUGUGGUGUGCGGUGGGCUCCGGGCACUUGUUGUCUGAGUAGCUCGCCGCUGCCAUCCUUGGGUGGAACCUGUGUGGCAUUAGGUUGUCGUGCAGGGGAUGCCCAUCGUUUACUGUGAAAAAAUUAGAGUGUUCAAAGCAGGCCUAUGCCGUUGAAUAUAUUAGCAUGGAAUAAUGAGAUAGGACUUUUUCGCUAUUUUGUUGGUUUGCGCGAAGAGGUAAUGAUUAAUAGGGACAGUUGGGGGUAUUCGUAUUCCAUUGUCAGAGGUGAAAUUCUUGGAUUUUUGGAAGACGAGCUACUGCGAAAGCAUUUACCAAGGAUGUUUUCAUUAA
rnacentral:rRNA from 1 species